rnacentral:rRNA from 1 species
UACGUAGGGUGCGAGCGUUAAUCGGAAUUACUGGGCGUAAAGCGUGCGCAGGCGGUUUUGUAAGACAGGCGUGAAAUCCCCGGGCUCAACCUGGGAAUUGCGGUUGAAACUGGCGAACUAGAAUCUGGCAGAGGGGGGGUGGAAUUCCACGUGUAGCAGUGAAAUGCGUAGAGAUGUGGAGGAACACCGAUGGCGAAGGCAAUCCCCUGGGCCUGUACUGACGCUCAUGCACGAAAGCGUGGGGAGCAAACAGGA